rnacentral:ribozyme from 1 species
CCUUCUCGGGGACUGUGACCUUGUCGUGGUGGGGAGGCUGAGUAUGUGAAAACUUUUUGGGACAAAAAUUUUACUUAUCACAGAAGCUGGCAGCAAU